ACAUCCAGAGAAUUUAGCAGNGAUGCUUUAGUGCCUUCGGGAACUCUGAGACAGGUGCUGCAUGGCUGUCGUCAGCUCGUGUUGUGAAAUGUUGGGUUAAGUCCCGCAACGAGCGCAACCCUUAUCCUUUGUUGCCAGCACGUAAUGGUGGGAACUCAAAGGAGACUGCCGGUGAUAAACCGGAGGAAGGUGGGGAUGACGUCAAGUCAUCAUGGCCCUUACGAGUAGGGCUACACACGUGCUACAAUGGCGCAUACAAAGAGAAGCGACCUCGCGAGAGCAAGCGGACCUCAUAAAGCGCGUCGUAGUCCGGAUUGGAGUCUGCAACUCGACUCCAUGAAGUCGGAAUCGCUAGUAAUCGUAAAUCAGAAUGUUACGGUGAAUACGUUCCCGGGCCUUGUACACACCGCCCGUCACACCAUGGGAGUGGGUUGCAAAAGAAGUAGAUAGCUUAACCUUCGGGAGGGCGUUUACCACUUUGUGAUUCAUGACUGGGGUGAAGUCGUAACAAGGUAAGCGUAGUGCU
rnacentral:rRNA from 1 species